rnacentral:sRNA from 1 species
GCCGGGCGUGGUGGCUCAUGCCUGUAAUCCCAGCACUUUGGGAGGCUGAGGUGGGUGGAUCACCUGAGGUCGGGAGUUUGAGACCAGCCUGACCAACAUGGUGAAACCCCAUCUCAG